AACGCGAAGAACCUUACCUACCCUUGACAUGUCCAGGAGCCCUUAGAGAUUUGGGUGUGCCCGAAAGGGAACUGGAACACAGGUGCUGCAUGGCUGUCGUCAGCUCGUGUCGUGAGAUGUUGGGUUAAGUCCCGCAACGAGCGCAACCCUUGUCGUUAAUUGCCAUCAUUUAGUUGGGCACUUUAACGAGACUGCCGGUGACAAACCGGAGGAAGGUGGGGAUGACGUCAAGUCCUCAUGGCCCUUAUGGGUAGGGCUUCACACGUCAUACAAUGGUCGGUACAAAGGGUUGCCAACCCGCGAGGGGGAGCUAAUCCCAGAAAGCCGAUCGUAGUCCGGAUCGUAGGCUGCAACUCGCCUGCGUGAAGUCGGAAUCGCUAGUAAUCGUGGAUCAGCAUGUCACGGUGAAUACGUUCCCGGGCCUUGUACACACCG
rnacentral:rRNA from 1 species